rnacentral:rRNA from 1 species
CCAGACAGCCAGGAUGUUGGCUUAGAAGCAGCCAUCAUUUAAAGAAAGCGUAAUAGCUCACUGGUCGAGUCGGCCUGCGCGGAAGAUGUAACGGGGCUAAACCAUGCACCGAAGCUGCGGCAGCGACACUAUGUGUUGUUGGGUAGGGGAGCGUUCUGUAAGCCUGCGAAGGUGUGCUGUGAGGCAUGCUGGAGGUAUCAGAAGUGCGAAUGCUGACAUAAGUAACGAUAAAGCGGGUGAAAAGCCCGCUCGCCGGAAGACCAAGGGUUCCUGUCCAACGUUAAUCGGGGCAGGGUGAGUCGACCCCUAAGGCGAGGCCGAAAGGCGUAGUCGAUGGGAAACAGGUUAAUAUUCCUGUACUUGGUGUUACUGCGAAGGGGGGACGGAGAAGGCUAUGUCGGCCGGGCGACGGUUGUCCCGGUUUAAGCGUGUAGGCUGACUUUCCAGGCAAAUCCGGAAGGUUAAGGCUGAGGCGUGAUGACGAGGCACCACGGUGCUGAAGUGACAAAUGCCCUGCUUCCAGGAAAAGCCUCUAAGCAUCAGGUAACAUCAAAUCGUACCCCAAACCGACACAGGUGGUCAGGUAG